rnacentral:rRNA from 1 species
CCCCUUGACAUGGCAGGAAUCCUGGAGAGAUCCGGGAGUGCUCGAAAGAGAACCUGCACACAGGUGCUGCAUGGCUGUCGUCAGCUCGUGUCGUGAGAUGUUGGGUUAAGUCCCGCAACGAGCGCAACCCUUGUCAUUAGUUGCUACGCAAGAGCACUCUAAUGAGACUGCCGGUGACAAACCGGAGGAAGGUGGGGAUGACGUCAAGUCCUCAUGGCCCUUAUGGGUAGGGCUUCACACGUCAUACAAUGGUACAUACAGAGGGCUGCCAACCCGCGAGGGGGAGCUAAUCCCAGAAAGUGUAUCGUAGUCCGGAUUGUAGUCUGCAACUCGACUACAUGAAGUUGGAAUCGCUAGUAAUCGCGGAUCAGCAUGUCGCGGUGAAUACGUUCCCGGGUCUUGUACACACCGCCCGUCACACCAUGGGAGCGGGUUUUACCAGAAGUAGGUAGCUUAACCGUAAGGAGGGCGCUUACCACGGUAGGAUUCGUGACUGGGGUGAAGUCGUAACAAGGUAGGCGUAGUGCU